GAUGAAGAACGCAGCGAAAUGCGAUAAGUAAUGUGAAUUGCAGAAUUCAGUGAAUCAUCGAAUCUUUGAACGCACAUUGCGCCCGCCAGCAUUCUGGCGGGCAUGCCUGUUCGAGCGUCAUUUCAACCCUCGAGCCCCCCCGGGGGCCUCGGUGUUGGGGGACGGCACACCAGCCGCCCCCGAAAUGCAGUGGCGACCCCGCCGCAGCCUCCCCUGCGUAGUAGCACACACCUCGCACCGGAGCGCGGAGGCGGUCACGCCGUAAAACGCCCAACUUUCUUAGAGUUGACCUCGGAUCAGGUAGGAAUACCCGCUGAACUUAAGCAUAUCAAAAGCGGAGGA
rnacentral:misc_RNA from 1 species